CACGUAGGGUGCGAGCGUUGUCCGGAAUUAUUGGGCGUAAAGAGCUCGUAGGCGGUGUGUCGCGUCGGCCGUGAAAACCUGCAGCUUAACUGUGGGCGUGCGGUCGAUACGGGCAUCACUGGAGUUCGGCAGGGGAGACUGGAAUUCCUGGUGUAGCGGUGAAAUGCGCAGAUAUCAGGAGGAACACCGGUGGCGAAGGCGGGUCUCUGGGCCGACACUGACGCUGAGGCGCGAAAGCCAGGGGAGCGAACAGG
rnacentral:rRNA from 1 species